rnacentral:rRNA from 1 species
AGAGUUUGAUCCUGGCUCAGAAUGAACGUUGGCGGCGUGGAUUAGGCAUGCAAGUCGUGCGAGAAUCUUCCUUCGGGAAGUGGACAGCGGCGAAAGGGAGAGUAAUACGUAGAAAUCCACCUUCAAGCCCGGGAUAGCGUCGGGAAACUGGCGGUAAUACCGGAUAAUAUCUCCGGAUCAAAGGUGUGAUUCCGCUUGAAGAUGAGUCUACGUCCUAUUAGCUAGUUGGCGGGGUAAUGGCCCACCAAGGCAACGAUGGGUAGCGGGUGUGAGAGCAUGAUCCGCCUCACUGGGACUGAGACACUGCCCAGACACCUACGGGUGGCUGCAGUCGAGAAUCUUUGUCAAUGGACGAAAGUCUGAACAAGCGACGCCGCGUGCGGGAUGAAGGCCUUCGGGUUGUAAACCGCUGUCGUAGGGGAACAAAUGUAUGGGGGUUCUCUCCUUUACUUGAGUGAUCCUAGGAGGAAGGACGGGCUAAGUUCGUGCCAGCAGCCGCGGUAAGACGAACCGUCCAAACGUUAUUCGGUAUCACUGGGCUUAAAGAGUUCGUAGGCGGCCAUGCAGGUCAGGUGUGAAAUCCCACAGCUCAACUGUGGAACUGCGCUUGAAACCGCAUGGCUUGAGGGAGAUAGAGGUGAGCGGAACAGAUGGUGGAGCGGUGAAAUGCGUUGAUAUCAUCUGG